AUUGAACGCUGUCGGCAGGCCUAACACCUGCCAGUCGAGCGAGCGGCGGACGGGUGAGUAAUGUCUGGUGCCUGCCCGAUAGUGGGGGAUCACUACUGGAAACGGUGGCUAAUACCGCAUACUAUCGGAUAACCCAUAUGGGAUUAGCUAGUAGGUGGGGUAAAGGGUCACCUAGGCGACGAUCACUAGCUGGUCUGAGAGGAUGACCAUCCACACGGGGACUGCGACAAGGCCCGGAAUCAUAGGGGGGCAGCAGAGGAGGAGGGUGCAAAAUGGGCGCAAGCCUGAUGCAGCCAUCCCUCAUGUAGGAAGAAGGCCGUAGGGUUGUGAAGUACUUGCAGCGGGGAGGCGUUGCCCGCAGAAGAAGCACCGGCUAAGUCCGUGCCAGCAGCCGCGGUAAUAC
rnacentral:rRNA from 1 species